ACCGUUUCCUCAACCUGGAUUCUUGUGGCCCACAACUCUGUGCCUUGAGAAUCCUCUUCUAGCCUCAAGGGACGGUAAGACAAAAGAAAAUUUAAAAAGGGGGCUCAGCUGUUCUUUUAUGCAAAGGUGAAAAAAGCUUCAUUGCCUAAAGAAGGGACAGAUGGGAUCUUGCUUCCUACAGGAAAAUUAAUUUUAAAAAAGAAAAAAAAAAGGGGGGACAGUGUAAUGCUUCUCACAAGGCUCCAGAAACGAAGCCCAGUAAUUCCUUAAGUAAAAGAGGAAUGUGAAGACUUCUUAAGGGGCCGGGCGCGGUGGUUCACGCCUGUAAUCCAAGCACUUUGGAAGGCCGAGGAUGAAUCACCUGAGGACAGAAGUUCAAGACCAGCCUGGUCAACAUGGUGAAACCCCGUCUCUACUAAAUAUACAAAAAUUAGCCGGGCGUGGUGGCGGGGGCCUGUAAUCCCAGCUACUCGGGAGGCCGAGGCAGGAGAAUCGCUUGAACCCGGGAGCCGGAAAUUGCAGUGAGCCGAGAUCGCGCCAUUGCGCUCCAGCCUGGGCAACAACAGCGAAACUUCGUCUCAAAAAAAAAAAUUAUUCGUAAUUGGUAACAUUAACAAGGAAUUAUGACUGGGGGGGUCAGGAAACCUGGAUUCUGGUCCAAGUUCUACCUUUAUAGUUGUCAAAUAUAUAUAUUUGUUUAUUUAUACACA
rnacentral:lncRNA from 10 species